AAUCAGAGAUGAAUAGGGAAACAUUACAGCAGACACCAUAGACAUCCAGAACAUUAUGAGACUUUUCCCAGGGCGAGGCGCAUCCAUUGCACUUUGGGAUGUGUUGACCCCUGUGAUUUACCCAAAUGCAGGUAAUAAUUUGUGGUGUGGGGGACUGUGUUCGCCCUCUCCCCUG
rnacentral:snRNA from 1 species